UCCAAGUACAUUUACAGAAACGACAAUAGUACUUGAGCCAAAAGUAAUCAUCACGGUCAUCCAAAGGUAAUGGAGGCGUGCAAAGAUUUCCUCGGAUCAAACGGAGAUUAACCCUCGAGUGCAAAGCAAAAGGGAGUUUGACUGCAAGAUCCAUCCAUCGAGCGGGGACGAAAGUCGGCUUUAGUGAUCCGACGAUGCCGAAUGAAAGGGUCAUCGCUCAACGGAUAAAAGUUAUUCUAGGAAUAACAGACUGAUCUUUCCCAAGAACUCACAUCAAUGGGAAGGUUUGACACCUCGAUGUCGGCUCUUAGCCACCUGAGGCUGUUGUAUGUUCCAAGGGUUGGACUGUUCGCCUAUUAAAAUGGUUCAGAAUGUCGUGAGACAGUUCGAUC
rnacentral:ncRNA from 1 species